AUGAUUAGUGUAUGGUCAAAUCAGAGGCGUCACAUCACCAUUGCAACUGCCACAUGGAAUGAUGCACUAGUCCGAUCGGUUUUUUUACCAAUUGAUGUUGAGGCAAUAUUGAGCAUACCCCUCUGCACAAGAAACAUCUCUGACUUCUGGGCAUGGAGUGCUGAGAAGAAGGGUGACUUUUCAGUUAGAUCGGCGUACAGGCUGAUAAUGCAUACAAAGAUCGUGAGGGAAUGGUGGAUAGACGAGGAGGAGGGAACUUCGGGGGCUGGGAGUGACAUCAGUUCGUGGUCGUCCCUAUGGGAAGUGGAGCUACCACCAAAGAUCAAACUCUUUCUGUGGAUACUGGCAAGAAGUUCGAUCCCGACCGUAGAUGUUCUUGUACACAGAAAUAUGAGCAUUUCCGAAGCAUGCAAGCUCUGUGGCGCUCGGGAUUCUUGGCGGCAUACGAUGUUGGACUGCACUAAC
rnacentral:rRNA from 1 species